AACGAACGCUGGCGGCAUGCCUAACACAUGCAAGUCGAACGAGACCUUCGGGUCUAGUGGCGCACGGGUGCGUAACGCGUGGGAACCUGCCCUUAGGUUCGGAAUAACUCCCCGAAAGGGGUGCUAAUACCGGAUAAUGUCUUCGGACCAAAGAUUUAUCGCCUUUGGAUGGGCCCGCGUUGGAUUAGCUAGUUGGUAGGGUAAAAGCCUACCAAGGCGACGAUCCAUAGCUGGUCUGAGAGGAUGAUCAGCCACACUGGGACUAGGACACGGCCCAGACUCCUACGGGAGGGGGCAGUGGGGGAUAUUGGAGAGUGGGCUGUGGGCUGAUGCAUCUAUGACGCGUGAGUGAUGAAGGCUUUGGGGUUGUAAAGCACGUUUACCCGGUGUGAUAAUGACGGUACCGUGAGAAUAAGCUCCGGCUAACUUCGUG
rnacentral:rRNA from 1 species